CCUACGGGUGGCUGCAGUGAGGAAUAUUGGUCAAUGGACGAGAGUCAGAACCAGCCAAGUAGCGUGAAGGAUGACUGCCCUAUGGGUUGUAAACUUCUUUUAUAAAGGAAUAAAACGAGGCACGUGUGCCUGUUUGCAUGUACUUUAUGAAUAAGGAUCGGCUAACUACGUGCCAGCAGCCGCGGUAAUACGGAGGAUCCGAGCGUUAUCCGGAUUUAUUGGGUUUAAAGGGAGCGUAGAUGGGUUGUUAAGUCAGUUGUGAAAGUUUGCGGCUCAACCGUAAAAUUGCAAUUGAUACUGGCAGUCUUGAGUACAGUUGAGGUAGGCGGAAUUCGUGGUGUAGCGGUGAAAUGCUUAGAUAUCACGAAGAACCCCGAUUGCGAAGGCAGCUUACUAAACUGUGACUGACAUUGAUGCUCGAAAGCGUGGGGAGCAAACAGGAUUAGAUACCCCUGUAGUC
rnacentral:rRNA from 1 species